rnacentral:lncRNA from 1 species
AAGACUUAAGAUGGCGGCGUUUGCACGGAGUGCAAUCACUGCGUCCUUACGGGGGUUGCAAGGCGUCCGAAGUAUGAGUCCACUAACAAAAGUCCAGAAACUCGCCAGUUAAUAGUAUUGUGUCUCUUCAAAAUAUCGGAGAAUAAUUUCUUUCUCGCUGAUCGCCUAACUUCUACUGACGAAGCUUGGAAGUUGCAGAAGGUAGCUCCUAGGAGGGAUAUAUGGGUCGUUCUUUCCUUUUUCCUUAUUUAAAUGGGUUUUUAUUGACACCAUGUCGCGCCAAAAUGGAUUCCAUCUCCUCAGAGCUUUCCUAGGAACAGCCUAACCUCUUGGGCCUAACUUUAUUUUUUUUUUGUUCUGCCUUUCAUGUCCAGACUUAUUAGUUUUAAUUAAUUUGUUUGUAACGUAUUCAUUAUGCACUAGAUUAAACAAUUUUUUUCUGUGCCCACUAUACCCCAAAUGUGGAGUUUUGGGCAAAAACUUAACAUUUGUUCUUGAAGCAUCUCAGAGGUGUGUGUGUGUGUGUGUAAUCUUUGGGGGACUUACAUUGCCAGGUUGAUUACUCACUAAGAAAAGAGCUAGAUUUCCUGUUUUCAAAUCUGUUGGCGAAAUUAAGUUUAUGUUAAGCAUAGCAUGUUUACUAUAUAUAUGGGGAAGACAGUUAAGAGUGACAUCUAAUAUGUUGUUAAAUGCUUAUGUGAUUAAAGUAAAUUUCAUGCAUUACCGCGGAGUAUGAAUUGCUGCAACCUUUUAGAAAAGAAUCUGGCAAUAUUUAGGGAAAUAAAAAAUACAGAUAUCACUUGAACAAAAACUGGAAUUCAAAAGUCUGACUUUUAAGAAUCUAUCCUACAGAAAUAAAAGUACCAGUAUAUAAUGACGCAUGAACAAGGAUACUUUUGUACUAUUUUGUUCUUGUGACAACUGGAAACAACCUGUGUAUCCAUCAAUAGGAGAAUGUUUGAGUAAAUUUUGGUACAUAAAUAUUAUGAAAUAUUUUGACUUUUGACCUAGAGAAUCUUAUGAUGGAUGGUUAUGUGAGAAAAGUAAGUUGCAGAAUAGUCUAGUAUGAGUCCUUUUUUUUUUUUGAUGGGGUGAUGAAGGAAUGCAAGAUUAACUUCUUUAUCUUUUGGAGGAGACGUUAAAUAUAUUAUGAAAUACUUAAGACAUAUACAGAUAUACAAGGAAUAAUACAAUGAACCUCUCUUCUCACCACCCAACGUAAAAAAAAAAUCAAACAUUAACGUGACAGUUGAAGUUCUCUGUGUACCCAUCCCUGAUUGCAUCUCUCUCUUCUCUCAUCCCCAGAGGUAACCAUUAUUUUAAACUUAGUGAUUUUUACCAUGCAUUUCUUAAACUUCUGUGACAUAGCAACUUCUAGCAUGGAUUAUUUUUUGUAAAUAUUGAAGAUGAAUUUUUAAAAAAAGUCAAUGAAAGAAGA